ensembl:rRNA 5S_rRNA 5S ribosomal RNA
GCUUACGGCCAUACCACCUUAGGCACGCCCGAUCUCGUCUGAUCUCGAAAGCUAAGCAGGGUCGGGCCUGGUUAGUACUUGGAUGGGUGACCGCCUGGGAAUACCAGGUGCUGUAAGCA